rnacentral:pre_miRNA from 1 species
UGUGCACCGGUGGGGUCCCUCGGCCUGGCCUGUGGGGAUUGGGCUGAAACCGGCUCUCUGACACCCCCAGAUUUGGAGAGGGCGCAGGCCAGGCUGAGGGACCCCACUGGUGCACA